GUUGUGUAUGAAAAUUUUUUUCAUGCUAGCGAUGCGAAAAUCCUUAUUUUUUUCCACUAUGAAAAUGGCGUUUUGUUGUCAUUCCGAGAGGCGCCAUUUUUGGUGAGAAA